AGAGUUUGAUCCUGGCUCAGAUUGAACGCUGGCGGCAGGCCUAACACAUGCAAGUCGAACGGUAGCACAGAGGAGCUUGCUCCUGGAUUCAGCGGCGGACGGGUGAGUAAUGCCUAGGAAUCUGCCUGGUUGUGGGGGAUAACGUCCGGAAACGGGCGCUAAUACCGCAUACGUCCUGAGGGAGAAAGUGGGGGAUCUUCGGACCUCACGCUAUCAGAUGAGCCUAGGUCGGAUUAGCUAGUUGGUGGGGUAAAGGCCUACCAAGGCGACGAUCCGUAACUGGUCUGAGAGGAUGAUCAGUCACACUGGAACUGAGACACGGUCCAGACUCCUACGGGAGGCAGCAGUGGGGAAUAUUGGACAAUGGGCGAAAGCCUGAUCCAGCCAUGCCGCGUGUGUGAAGAAGGUCUUCGGAUUGUAAAGCACUUUAAGUUGGGAGGAAGGGCAGUAAGUUAAUACCUUGCUGUUUUGACGUUACCAACAGAAUAAGCACCGGCUAACUUCGUGCCAGCAGCCGCGGUAAUACGAAGGGUGCAAGCGUUAAUCGGAAUUACUGGGCGUAAAGCGCACGCAGGCGGUUUGUUAAGUCAGAUGUGAAAUCCCCGGGCUCAACCUGGGAACUGCAUCUGAUACUGGCAAGCUUGAGUCUCGUAGAGGGGGGUAGAAUUCCAGGUGUAGCGGUGAAAUGCGUAGAGAUCUGGAGGAAUACCGGUGGCGAAGGCGGCCCCCUGGACGAAGACUGACGCUCAGGUGCGAAAGCGUGGGGAGCAAACAGGAUUAGAUACCCUGGUAGUCCACGCCGUAAACGAUGUCGACUUGGAGGUUGUGCCCUUGAGGCGUGGCUUCCGGAGCUAACGCGUUAAGUCGACCGCCUGGGGAGUACGGCCGCAAGGUUAAAACUCAAAUGAAUUGACGGGGGCCCGCACAAGCGGUGGAGCAUGUGGUUUAAUUCGAUGCAACGCGAAGAACCUUACCUGGUCUUGACAUCCACGGAAGUUUUCAGAGAUGAGAAUGUGCCUUCGGGAACCGUGAGACAGGUGCUGCAUGGCUGUCGUCAGCUCGUGUUGUGAAAUGUUGGGUUAAGUCCCGCAACGAGCGCAACCCUUAUCCUUUGUUGCCAGCGGUCCGGCCGGGAACUCAAAGGAGACUGCCAGUGAUAAACUGGAGGAAGGUGGGGAUGACGUCAAGUCAUCAUGGCCCUUACGACCAGGGCUACACACGUGCUACAACGGCGCAUACAAAGAGAAGCGACCUCGCGAGAGCAAGCGGACCUCAUAAAGUGCGUCGUAGUCCGGAUUGGAGUCUGCAACUCGACUCCAUGAAGUCGGAAUCGCUAGUAAUCGUGGAUCAGAAUGCCACGGUGAAUACGUUCCCGGGCCUUGUACACACCGCCCGUCACACCAUGGGAGUGGGUUGCAAAAGAAGUAGGUAGCUUAACCUUCGGGAGGGCGCUUACCACUUUGUGAUUCAUGACUGGGGUGAAGUCGUAACAAGGUAGCCGUA
rnacentral:rRNA from 5 species